rfam:Felis catus isolate Cinnamon breed Abyssinian chromosome B2, whole genome shotgun sequence.
GCCUGAGUGGCUCAGUUGGCUAAGCAUCCGACUUCAGCUCAGGUCAUGAUCUCACAAUUUGUGGGUUCGAACCCCACGUCAGGCU